rnacentral:tRNA from 1 species
UCAAACCCCAGAGAAGAGCA